CCAAAGUGGACAGAAAGUAGAACUGAAGCGCGGCCGGGGAAAGAUGGAGGCGGCGGAGACCGAGGCGGAGACUGCAGCCCUAGAGGCCCUGGCCAAGGUGGCAGACAUCCUGGAGCCUAUUGGUCUGCAGGAGGAGACAGAACUGCCUGCUCAUAUCCUGGCUGAGUUUGUGAUGGACUCCCGGAAGAAAGACAAGCUCCUCUGCAGCCAGCUUCAAGUAGUAGACUUCCUGCAGAACUUCUUGGUUCAGAAGAACACUGCCCAGGGCCUGGACCCCUUGGCUUCUGAAGACACGAGCCGGCAGAAGGCAAUUGAAGCCAAAGAGCAAUGGAAAGAGCUGAAGGCUACCUACCAAGAGCACAUGGAAGCCAUCACAAGUGCCCUAACCCAGGCACUGCCCAAGGUGGAGGAGGCCCGAAGGAAGCAGGCACAGCUCCAGGAGGCCCUUCAACAACUCCAGGCCAAGAAGCAAAUGGCCAUGGAAAAGCUCAGAAUAGCCCAGAAGGAGUGGCAGCUGCAACAGGAGAAGCGUCUGCAGCAUCUGGCAGAGGUUUCUGCAGAGGUGAGGGAGCGUCAGAAAGGAACUAAGCAGGAGCUUGAUCGACUGUAUCAGGAACUUGGAACUCUUAAACAGCAGGCAGGACAAGAGCAGGACAAGCUGCAGAGGCACCAGACCUUCCUCCAGCUGCUAUACACCCUACAGGGUAAGCUGCUGUUCCCCGGGGCAGAGGCAGAGAUACCACAAAAGCUGGAUCUUCCUAAGGAUAAGCCCCAGCAGCUGACCCAGCCCCAGAAGCAGAACACUCGGGACACCAUGGGGAGAGACAGAGAUGUGUCAUCCAAGGCUGACGGCCCACAGCCUGCUGGAGGUGCGAGCUUGCCAUGGCUUCCUGGGGAACAACAACAUGGGGAAGGAUCCUAGAACAGAUCAGACUCCAGCUCAGACCAUGGUGUCCUUGGACUGCAGUUGUCAGAUGGACUUUAGCAAGUACACCUAUGCAAGGAGUCAUUUAUUUCAAUCAUGAAGACACCUGGAAUCUACAGGAAACUCAUCUCAUUUUGUAGUACUGAUUGCUAUCAACAGUUUGCUAUUUUUCACCCAAGUAUCCUGUUUAUCUGUAAAGAAACUAUGUGACAGCCUGGUUCAUUUUUAAAUUGUGUAUUGGGAACAGAGUUCACACUUAGUACUGACUUAGAAUUCAAAAGAUGUUUGCUUCCUGGAUGUUUGUCUUGGUUUGGCAGUGUUAAAGUUUUGUGAUGAAAUGUGUACUUGUUUUGUUCAAUCUCGAUGGAAGUUUAUCUAAUAUUUUCUAUAUGGUUAAGUAUAUGAAAUUAUACAUAAUAUAAAACAGAAAAAUGGAAAAUCUAAAAUCCAGGCAUCACUGUCUUCACAGAAGUAUAUUUGUUUGGCAGAAAUCUGGGUAAAGAAUCUCCAUCCUUGUAACAAGUCGUCCAGAGAUUUCCAUAAAAUUUCAUACUUUAGUCCCCAAUUUCUUUAACCCCUUGAGACAUUUUGUAUUAACAUGUAAUAUCUGUCUUGCUGUCUCCUUGGUUUUACUCCUCCUGUGCUACUGAAUAAGAAACCAAACUCCUAGUACUGCUAAUGCUUUGUCAAGCAGUGGUUACUUGCUUCUUUGCAGAUGGUUUUUGCUGAAGAGCCCAUAUCUAGGAAAACAAAGAGAAAAUAACUUUCUAAUUCUCUUUGCUUAUUUAACCUAUGUAAUCCUAAGUAUAUCUAACAUGAGAAUAGCUCUGUGAAGACCAUCAGAGUCUCUUGAACAUUUUAUUUCUCUUCAUGAAAUGAUCUUUCAAAAAUCCACUUGAAUGUCCUGGACUAAAAGAAUGAAGGCCUGAGAGAAGUGAGUUAACCACUUUUAUGGUAUAACCAUAACACAAACAAUUCAAAUACCUUUUGAUCACAAACAUCAUUGAAUAUCUGGCAAUAGGUUUAUAAUUUGAGUUUAAACAAAAAGUUGCUGCCAUAUUAUGGUGUGCUGAAUUUUAAUUGGCUUUGAUCCCUCUAGGUGUAAAGUGUUCUGUAUAAAAGCUAGCACUAAUCGCCUUUCUCAGCUCCCACUGGUAUAACAGACAUCAGUAGUCAAUUCUCGCUCUUGGCCCUAACGGCCAUAAACAGGACAGACCAUUUUUUCCCAUCUCCCCUUCCACAUUACCCAAUUUAGUUAUUGCUAAUUGUUAGAUGUUGGCAUAUAACAUAAAAUAGUUUUGCUCUACCUACUAAAAUAUGUUAAAAAUCAACCUACCAUAAAUAAGCUAUAGAAAUACGUGAAAUGGGGAGCUUACUCCACAUGAGGUGAAAUAGAUCCAGAGAAUGUUUUGGUAAUAGUGGGAUGUGAGAGGACUUUGUAAGUGGUAUGUUUUGUCAAGGAGUUUUAGAGUAAACUACAUUCUAGACAAAGAGAAAAAAUUUCAGUUAUAGGAUAUAAAGAAUAAGAAUAUGUCCAGGAACAGCAAAAUGGUAAUGUGGCUGAAGGAAAGAUGUGUGUGGAUGUGUUACUGGGACAGAAUUGUAAUUGGACUGGAGAGGCAGUUGAACAAAUUACAGUAAAUAAUGUCCCCAAAAGUUUGAAGGUUAGAGACAAAAGCAAAUCAGUAUUGCAACUUUAGUUAAAUGUUUAUCCAUUUGCCUUCUUAGUUUUGAUUUUGUCACCUACUUGAUUGUUCUUUUCAGUGAAAAUGGCAGGUUUUUGUCAGUUUACAAUUUUUAAACAGUAUGGUAGUCAAUUAUAGGUAUUGAACAUCUUGAUGCUUUAGGCAUUAACUAAUUUAUUAUUGUUACCAUUCAUAAACUAAAUAACUAAGGAUUAGAUGCUUUGCCUAAAACAAACAAACAAACAGCUAUUCAAAUUCUGGGCCAUUAUGCUCAGAGUUUCUUUCUACAUGUCAUUGUUACCACACACAAAAAAUCUUCACUUUCUGAAAAGUCACUGUAAGAAUCCAAAUAUGUUAUCUAGGAAGACAGUGCAGCUAAGCCUUUAGCUCUUAAAGUUUGAUAUGCAAUAGAGUCAUGUGGAGGUGGGUUUUUUUUUUUUUAAGUUAUAAACCCCCCAUAUAAUCCAAUGUAUUUUUUUUAAUUGAAGUAUAGUUGAUUUACAAUGUUGUGUUAGUUUCUGGUGUACAGCAUAGUGAUUCAGUUAUACAUAUAUAUUUUUUUAUUAGAGGUUAUAUUAUAAGCUAUUGAAUAUAGUUCCUUGUGCUAUACAGUAGGACCUUGUUUAUCUGUUGUAUAUAUAGUAGCUUGUAUCUCCUAAUCCCAAACUCCUAAUUUAUCCCUCCACCCCCGUUUCCCAUUCGGCAACCAUAAAUUUGUUUUCGAUGUCAA